AAGGGUUUGCGUGUGUGCACCUGCCGCUUCUGUUGUAAAAUUACCACUUCUCAAAAACCGCUCUAGCGCUGUGCAGCUUAUACUAACACAUAUACACUCUCACAUAGAGACAUUUACACCUCUUCAGAUAACAGAAUCUCAACACUGAGAAGAACAAUGAGAACUGCCAAGACAGUGUGUUUUGUGUGCUUUCUUUUAUUCUUUGGAACCGUGCGUGCUCAAAACAACGGGACCUCGACAAACAGUCCAUUGAAAAAUAAAGCAGACACUUCUCAAACUAAAGCGAUUACUUCCAAUGACAAGCCAACAAUAUCACGUGUAACAGAACAACUCAAAACAAAUGGAUCAAAUCAAGGUUGUGUAUGCCCUAAGUUCCCUACCGAAAGCACACAAAGACUAUGCCUUUUGUUUCUGCCUGAAGGGAAUACAUUGAAUCUGGUUUUGGGUGCUCUCGCGUUGGCUUGCUUUAUUUUGCUUCUGACCACGCUGAUGUGUGCCUGCCAGCUUUGCAAAAUGAAAGUAUUGAUCUCUAAGUUCCAGCCUAAUCACAACUACAUAGACCUUCAAGCCAUGAGAAAGAGAAGCGAAUCACCAUCCAGGGACGAAGGACCAGCAGUGAGGGAACCAACCGAGACCUGUGUCAUGUUGUCAGCGGUCACAACACAGGAGGAGGAAAACAAAGAGGAGAGCAUUCAAACCUUUCCCGAGCCGUAUGUGGAAGGUCCAAAUGGAGAGGUUGCUCAGGAGAGCGGGAACAGUUGCAAAGCUGAGAGUAAGGAGCCUGAUGUAGAAGCACCAGAGAGCUCGACCAUAGAGGUGUGAACAACACGCUUGAACAAACUGGUGUCACACAGCUCCCCCUGGUGGCAUUUAAAGUCUUUUGCAGCUUAAGCUUGAUUUACAGCUUUGUGAAUGGUUUGUAGGUCUUAAACACCAGACUCAAGGGGAAGUAAUUCAUGAGAAUGAUUUUAAGACUGCUUAUUAAGUUACGCAAUCUCAGACCAAAAUUCCAGGAAUGAAAAUCUAAAAAUAAGCUUUCAACAUUGUAUUUAGUAUCCACAAAUGUAUUGUGUGACCUUGUUUAAAAUGUGUGCAUUCAUGCUUUUUGUGCUUUUCAUUUUAAAUCUUUUUUUGUGCUUUUUAACAUUUAAAUUUCUGGACAAUAAAAAUGUUGUCUAAGUUUU